rnacentral:rRNA from 1 species
AUUGAACGCUGGCGGCAUGCCUUACACAUGCAAGUCGAACGGCAGCACGGGGGCAACCCUGGUGGCGAGUGGCGAACGGGUGAGUAACAUAUCGGAACAUACCCUAGAGUGGGGGAUAACGUAGCGAAAGUUACGCUAAUACCGCAUACGAUCUAAGGAUGAAAGUGGGGGAUCUUCGGACCUCAUGCUCAUGGAGUGGCCGAUAUCUGAUUAGCUAGUUGGUGAGGUAAAGGCUCACCAAGGCGACGAUCAGUAGCUGGUUUUGAGAGAACGACCAGCCACACUGGAACUGAGACACGGUCCAGACUCCUACGGAGGCAGCAGU